rnacentral:rRNA from 1 species
GAAACUAAUCUCCCCGUGAAGAAGCGAGGAUAACACUAUAAGACGAGAAGACCCCAUGGAGCUUUAAACCCAAUUAUAUCCCUAACCCCUAUAACCAUUUAACCUCUUAGGCCCUAUAUACUUGGUUUUAGGUUGGGGCGACCACGGAGUAAAACCAAACCUCCAUGAUGUACGGAACAACCUCCUUAUCUAAGAGCCACAGCUCUAAGAAUUAGCACACUAUCAUAAAAUGACCCAUUAUUGAUCAACGAACCAAGUUACCCUGGGGAUAACAGCGCAAUCCAUUUUAAGAGCCCCUAUCGACAAAUGGGUUUACGACCUCGAUGUUGGAUCAGGAUAUCCCAGUGGUGCAGCAACUACUAAAGGUUCGUUUGUUCAACGAUCAAAAUCCU